rnacentral:rRNA from 1 species
GAUGAACGCUGGCGGCGUGCCUAAUACAUGCAAGUCGAGCGAACAGAUGAGGAGCUUGCUCCUCUGACGUUAGCGGCGGACGGGUGAGUAACACGUGGAUAACCUACCUAUAAGACUGGGAUAACUUCGGGAAACCGGAGCUAAUACCGGAUAAUAUAUUGAACCGCAUGGUUCAAUAGUGAAAGACGGUUUUGCUGUCACUUAUAGAUGGAUCCGCGCCGCAUUAGCUAGUUGGUAAGGUAACGGCUUACCAAGGCAACGAUGCGUAGCCGACCUGAGAGGGUGAACGGCCACACUGAGACUGAGACACGGUCCAGACUCCUACGGGAGGCAGCAGUAGGGAAUCUUCCGCAAUGGGCGAAGGCCUGACGGAGCAACGCCGCGUGAGUGAUGAAGGUCUUCGGAUCGUAAAACUCUGUUAUUAGGGAAGAACAAAUGUGUAAGUAACUAUGCACGUCUUGACGGUACCUAAUCAGAAGGCCACGGCUAACUACGUG